GAUGAACGCUAGCGGCAGGCUUAAUACAUGCAAGUCGAGGGGCAGCACAGGUAGCAAUACUGGGUGGCGACCGGCAAACGGGUGCGGAACACGUACACAACUUACCUUCUGGUGGGGGAUAGCCUUUGGAAACGGAGAUUAAUACCCCAUAUUAUAUAUGAGCUGCAUGGUUUGUAUAUUAAAGAUUUAUUGCCGGAAGAUGGGUGUGCGUAUGAUUAGGUAGUUGGCGGGGUAACGGCCCACCAAGCCGACGAUCAUUAACUGGUGUGAGUGAACGACCAGUCACACGUGCACUGAGACACGGGCCCGACUCCUACGGGAGGCAGCAGUAAGGAAUAUUGGUCAAUGGACGAAAGUCUGAACCAGCCAUGCCGCGUGGAGGAUGAAGGUCCUCUGGAUUGUAAACUUCUUUUAUAGGGGGCGAAAAAAGGGAAUUCUUUCUCGUCUGACGGUACCCUAUGAAUAAGCACCGGCUAACUCCGUGCCAGCAGCCGCCGUAAAAC
rnacentral:rRNA from 1 species